UUUAGAUUUUUGUACUGCUCAGGGACGAACGCUGGCGGCGUGCUUAACACAUGCAAGUCGAACGGAAAGGUCUCUUCGGAGAUACUCGAGUGGCGAACGGGUGAGUAACACGUGGGUGAUCUGCCCUGCACUUCGGGAUAAGCCUGGGAAACUGGGUCUAAUACCGGAUAGGACCACGGGAUGCAUGUCUUGUGGUGGAAAGCGCUUUAGCGGUGUGGGAUGAGCCCGCGGCCUAUCAGCUUGUUGGUGGGGUGACGGCCUACCAAGGCGACGACGGGUAGCCGGCCUGAGAGGGUGUCCGGCCACACUGGGACUGAGAUACGGCCCAGACUCCUACGGGAGGCAGCAGUGGGGAAUAUUGCACAAUGGGCGCAAGCCUGAUGCAGCGACGCCGCGUGGGGGAUGACGGCCUUCGGGUUGUAAACCUCUUUCACCAUCGACGAAGGUCCGGGUUCUCUCGGAUUGACGGUAGGUGGAGAAGAAGCACCGGCCAACUACGUGCCAGCAGCCGCGGUAAUACGUAGGGUGCGAGCGUUGUCCGGAAUUACUGGGCGUAAAGAGCUCGUAGGUGGUUUGUCGCGUUGUUCGUGAAAUCUCACGGCUUAACUGUGAGCGUGCGGGCGAUACGGGCAGACUAGAGUACUGCAGGGGAGACUGGAAUUCCUGGUGUAGCGGUGGAAUGCGCAGAUAUCAGGAGGAACACCGGUGGCGAAGGCGGGUCUCUGGGCAGUAACUGACGCUGAGGAGCGAAAGCGUGGGGAGCGAACAGGAUUAGAUACCCUGGUAGUCCACGCCGUAAACGGUGGGUACUAGGUGUGGGUUUCCUUCCUUGGGAUCCGUGCCGUAGCUAACGCAUUAAGUACCCCU
rnacentral:rRNA from 1 species